UACGUGAGGGUGCAAGCGUUGUCCGGAAUUAUUGGGCGUAAAGAGCUUGUAGGCGGUUUGUCGCGUCUGCUGUGAAAUUUCGGGGCUCAACCCCGAACUUGCAGUGGGUACGGGCAGACUAGAGUGUGGUAGGGGAGACUGGAAUUCCUGGUGUAGCGGUGAAAUGCGCAGAUAUCAGGAGGAACACCGAUGGCGAAGGCAGGUCUCUGGGCCACUACUGACGCUGAGGAGCGAAAGCUAGGGGAGCAAACGGG
rnacentral:rRNA from 1 species